GAUAUUUAACGACUAACGGGUUAAUAUCUUAAAUAUCUAAGGCUACCCCACCAAAACCACCCCCCAAACCACCCAACACCCCUUUAUCUACCUCACUCACGGCUGAAUUCAGCCAACACACUCCAAUCAUCUUUGCUCUCUCACACACACAACACCCAAAACACCUACUUAUCACGCCAAACACCAUUUUUAGCUUGGACGGAGGUUUCAAGCUCCGAUUUGAGCACCGAGACGAGCGCCGAUCAUCUUUUCGAUCACGUAUCUAAGUAGGUCCUUUUGGGAAGUAACGACUUGAGGGAGAGAGUGACGUUACUCAUUGAUACAGAGACACAACGAGGUUGAGCUGAUGUGAUGAUGGUGCUGCAAUGAGCGGAGUCUCCAGGGUUGUUAAUAAAUAGUUAACCUGUCUAGAAUAUGUCUUCAUACAUAUGUCUAGCUACUUUCCGCUGCAAGAUGUUGUUGAUGUUAUAGUAUGUUAUGUCAUACUUUGAGUCUUAAGAGAAUGGUUUCAUAUGAUGUAUAACUUGAUUAAUGAUAUUAAUUAAGUUUUAUGUUGUCUUUCAUAGACUGUUCAAAAGAGUAUUAAUGAGUAAAUACGAUGAUUUUUCUUAA